rnacentral:tRNA from 1 species
GGCCUCACAGCUCAGCUGAUAGAGCGUGCGCGUGUAAAGCGUAUGCGGCUUCCAUGCGUGGGUUCGAAUCUCAUCGAGGCUA